rnacentral:misc_RNA from 1 species
AGAGAGAGAGAGAGAGCAAUAAUAGAGAUAGUCAGAGGAGGAGGAGAAGAGGGUAUAGAGACGGGAUGUUUAAGGAUCUUUCUUGGUUCUUCUGAGACAGAUUUGCUUCAAACUGAGAUUGAAAGGUUUUGUUGGUAUGUUGGAUUUCCAUUGUUUAUGUUGCCCUUUGUCUCUUUUGCUUGCACAAAAAUUUAUCACGAGUUUUUGCAUAAAACAUGGUUUUGGUUUCGCUGUGGAGUUCUUGUUGAAAUUUUCUAUGUAAAGCUGUUUUCUACCUGUGGAUUUCCACCCAUGAAUUAAUUCUUUUUUUUUUUCCCAGCGUUCUUCCUUUUUGGUGUCAGUUCUUGGAGUUUGUCUUGAUAUUUUCUCUGCAAAGUUAUUUUCUCUGCAAAGUUAUUUUCUUCAUGUGGAUUUCUCCCAUGAUAAAUUAUUUUCUGCUAAUGGAUUAUUUCAAGCAUGAGAAAAAAAUUAUGGUUGUGGAGUUUGAAAACAGAUGUUACAACAGGAAAAAAAAAAUUUUCAUCUUCUGGGUUUUUACUCUUUCCUCUUCGUGUUCUGCUUGUGUUUCUCUGUCACUAUGUUGUCUCUUAUGUUCUUAUUACUUCUCUAUGCAGUAUACAAAGGUUUUUUUUUCCUAUGCUUUUCCCUUUCCUUUAAAGCAUGCAUUUUUUAUUAUUGUUAUUUAAUAUUAUAGUUCCAAAUUUAGGUCAAAAAGGCUAAUUUCUGGUUCUGAAUGUUCUGGUUACAGUGACUUCCUUUCGUUAAAUGGAUUUCCUUUUAUGGUUCAUGAGACAAAAAUUUUCUCCCUUUUGUUUGAGCUAUUUUGUGGGUUUUACUUAGAUCUGCAACUUGUUAUGGCUGCUUGGAUUCUGUACUUUUUGGACUUUAUCUUUCUCCCUCUUCUUCUUCUUCUUGUGCUUAAAUAUUGAGGAAUGAAAAUUCUUUUGGCACUUGGUUUAUCUUCUAGUGUUAGAUACAAUGAUUGUGAAGAAGA